rnacentral:rRNA from 1 species
UACGUAGGGGGCGAGCGUUGUCCGGAUUUAUUGGGCGUAAAGAGCUCGUAGGCGGUUUGGUAAGUUGGAUGUGAAAUCUCCAGGCUCAACUUGGAGGGGUCAUUCGAUACUGCCAUGACUAGAGUUCGGUAGGGGAGUGUGGAAUUCCUGGUGGAGCGGUGAAAUGCGCAGAUAUCAGGAGGAACACCCGUGGCGAAGGCGGGUCUCUGGGCCGAUACUGACGCUGAGGAGCGAAAGCGUGGGGAGCGAACAGG